AACGCACAUUGCGCCCCUUGGUAUUCCAUGGGGCAUGCCUGUUCGAGCGUCAUUUUGUACCCUCAAGCACUGCUUGGUGUUGGGCGUUUGUCCUGCAGAGGACUCGCCUGAAAGCGAUUGGCGGCCAACGCAUCGGUGGCAGAGCGCAGCACAAUCUCGCGUCUCUCCCCUUCGCGUCGGCGUCCAUGAAGCCUACAAUUCAACGUUUGACCUCGGAUCAGGUAGGGAUACCCGCUGAACUUAA
rnacentral:misc_RNA from 1 species